GGGCGAUUGGCGCAGCGGGAGCGCAGGUGCCUUACAAGCACAAGGUCACAAGUUCGAAUCUUGUAUCGCCCACCA
rnacentral:tRNA from 1 species